GCCUUUGUGGUGUAGUGGUUUUGCACACUGGGCUGAUAUUCCAGAGGUCCGUAGUUCGAUUCCCAGCGAAGGCG
rnacentral:tRNA from 1 species